AGCAGGAGUGGCGCAAGGGUGCGUAACACGUGGAUCAUCUGCCUGGAAGUCUGGAAUAAUUCCGCGAAAGCGGGACUAAUGCCGGAUGUGGAUGGAAGUCUAAAGUUGGGGACCGCAAGGCCUGACGCUUCCAGAUGAGUCCGCGGCCUAUCAGCUAGUUGGCGGGGUAACGGCCCACCAAGGCGAAGACGGGUAGCUGGUCUGAGAGGACGACCAGCCUCACUGGAACUGAGACACGGUCCAGACACCUACGGGUGGCAGCAGUCGAGAAUUUUUCUCAAUGGGGGAAACCCUGAAGGAGCGACGCCGCGUGGGGGAUGAAGGGCUUCGGCCCGUAAAACCCUGUCAUUUGCGAACAACUGUCAUGGUUGAACAUUCCAUGGCUUGAUUGUAGCGGAAGAGGAAAGGGACGGCUAACUCUGUGCCAGCAGCCGCGGUUAUACAGAGGUCCCGAGCGUAGAUCGGAUUCACUGGGCGUAAAGGGUGC
rnacentral:rRNA from 1 species